AACGAACGCUGGCGGCAGGCUUAACACAUGCAAGUCGAACGCCCCGCAAGGGGAGUGGCAGACGGGUGAGUAACGCGUGGGAACAUACCCUUUCCUGAGGCAUAGCUCCGGGAAACUGGAAUUAAUACCGCAUACGCCCUACGGGGGAAAGAUUGAUCGGGGAAGGAUUGGCCCGCGUUGGAUUAGCUAGUUGGUGGGGUAAAGGCCUACCAAGGCGACGAUCCAUAGCUGGGCUGAGAGGAUGAUCAGCCACAUUGGGACUGAGACACGGCCCAAACUCCUACGGGGGGCAGCAGUGGGGAAUAUUGGACAAUGGGCGCAAGCCUGAUCCAGCCAUGCCGCGUAAGUGAUGAAGACCGUAGGGUUGUAAAGCUCUUUCACCGAUGAAGAUAAUGACGGUAGUCGGAGAAGAAGCCCCGGCUAACUUCGUGCCAGCCGCCGCUGUAAAAC
rnacentral:rRNA from 1 species